CGGAGAAGGCCAAGGGCUGCAGCGAGGGAGAUUCCUGAUGACUAUGGAGCAGCUGUGGCAGCCUUCUUGGGAAAAAUGUGCCACACUGUGAGACAGAAGCACAAUCAUGUAAAAAGGGGUGAAGAUUCCAGUAGCAAGGAGAAAACUGAACAGCAUAUUUUCUUUUGAAUAUCCAGACUAAAUUUAAAUCCAGUUCAUAGUUUCGGCUACCCUGGAACUUCAGAGACAUUUCAGUUUGUAUUUUGGACUUGAGCUUGGAGUGUUGAACCCAUCUCUGCCUGAAGUCAAUGGCUUCUAUAAUGUACACUAAACAAAACAAGUAUUUUAUACAACAUCAUUCAGACGCUGCCACAAGGCUAGUUGGUUGGACAGAGACUGUCUUUGUUAGUUAACUGCUUUAGAACUAGCAAGGCACAAACUAUUUUGCUGUUUAGUUUUAACAAAAAUAGCUAAAGAUUUUUUGGCAAGGCAGAGACCUAUUUUGUUUUUAAAAAAUACACAUUUAAAUGUAUAACAAUUCUUUUAUUAAAUUAUAUCAAUUCCAA